CCUACGGGUGGCAGCAGUGGGGAAUAUUGGGCAUUGGGCGCAAGCCUGACCCAGCAACGCCGCGUGAAGGAAGAAGGCUUUCGGGUUGUAAACUUCUUUUAAGAGGGAAGAGCAGAAGACGGUACCUCUUGACUAAGCCACGGCUAACUACGUGCCAGCAGCGGCGGUAAUACGUAGGUGGCAAGCGGUUUCCGGAUUUACUGGGUGUAAAGGGCUGGUAGCCGGGCUGACAAGUCAGUUGGGAAAUUCCGGGGCGCAACCCCGGACCUGCAUUGGAAACUGUGGGUCUUGAGUGUCUGAGAGGCAGGCGGAAUGCGUGGUGUAGCGGUGAAAGGCGUAGAUAUAAGGAAGAAAGCCAGUGGCGAAGGCGGCGUGCUGGAGGACAACUGACGGUGAUGCGCGAAAGCGUGGGGAGCAAACAGGAUUAGAUACCCGAGUAGUC
rnacentral:rRNA from 1 species